rnacentral:rRNA from 1 species
UACGUGAGGGGCGAACGUUGUUCGGUGUCACUGGGCUUAAAGGGUGCGUAGGUGGUUUCGUAAGUAAGGUGUGAAAGCCCUCGGCUUACCCGGGGAAUUGCGCCUUAUACUGCGAGACUUGAGGAUUUCAGGGGAAUGCGGAAUUCCAGGUGUAGCGGUGAAAUGCGUAGAUAUCUGGAGGAACACCGGUGGCGAAGGCGGCAUCCUGGACCGACACUGACGCUGAGGAGCGAAAGCCAGGGGAGCAAACGGG